rnacentral:lncRNA from 1 species
GAAACGGUCAUUUUGGUCUGAUCAAGUCUUGAUCGACUUAAUUUACCGCUAGAGAAAAACGUUGAGACUUUUCAGAUUUUAAGACACUGUUCAGAUAUGUUGGUGUCAAGUCUGUUCAGUCAUGUCAAGUUAAUCAAGAUGGAAGGCUCUAGCGUUAAAUCAAGUCUGUUAAGACUGUUUUGGACAAAUUAAGACCAAUCAUAAAAAGUAACGUUCAAAACUUUCAGAUCGGGUUAAGAUCCGUUUAGUGUGUCAGAAUGAUAUUAGGAGUUACGCCCCUU